AUUGAACGCUGGCGGCAGGCCUAACACAUGCAAGUCGAACGGUAACAGGAAGCAGCUUGCUGCUUCGCUGACGAGUGGCGGACGGGUGAGUAAUGUCUGGGAAGCUGCCUGAUGGAGGGGGAUAACUACUGGAAACGGUAGCUAAUACCGCAUAAUGUCGCAAGACCAAAGAGGGGGACCUUCGGGCCUCUUGCCAUCGGAUGUGCCCAGAUGGGAUUCGCUUGUUGGUGGGGUAACGGCUCACCAAGGCGACGAUCCAUAGCUGGUCUGAGAGGAUGACCAGCCACACUGGAACUGAGACACGGUCCAGACUCCUACGGGAGGCAGCAGUGGGGAAUAUUGCACAAUGGGCGCAAGCCUGAUGCAGCCAUGCCGCGUGUAUGAAGAAGGCCUUCGGGUUGUAAAGUACUUUCAGCGGGGAGGAAGGGAGUAAAGUUAAUACCUUUGCUCAUUGACGUUACCCGCAGAAGAAGCACCGGCUAACUCCGUG
rnacentral:rRNA from 1 species